UAUACUCGCGACGACGCGGCGCUCUAAAGUAUACACCGCCGGACGGAUUUGUACAACAGUCGUCGGGUUUCCGAAAUAUCCUCGGGAAGGGCUGGUUAACAAAAGGUCCGUAUGCUCUCUGUGGAUCUAUCCCCGAACUUGGGAAAGCCACGCUCGUAGAAAAAGGUAGCACUAAAGCGACG